UUUAUGGAGAGUUUGAUCCUGGCUCAGGAUGAACGCUGGCGGCGUGCCUAAUACAUGCAAGUCGAGCGAACGGACGAGAAGCUUGCUUCUCUGAUGUUAGCGGCGGACGGGUGAGUAACACGUGGAUAACCUACCUAUAAGACUGGGAUAACUUCGGGAAACCGGAGCUAAUACCGGAUAAUAUUAUGAACCGCAUG
rnacentral:rRNA from 1 species